GACUUUCUAGUGUCUAGGUCAAGGUCAUAGAAGCACGUGUUCGACCAUUAUGGCUGCCAAAAGGGAAGCCGGUUCCUUCAACACAAAAUGAAGGCUCCUGGCAGUGAGGGACACCACAGGGUGGCAGGAAUGUCUGUGAGAUCUUCUGGGCCUGGUGGCCAAAGACUGACACUGUUCUGGGACUUCUGGCCCCAGAGAUCACAGAGGAACCUAGGGUGAUUGUCCAGAUGGUCUUGCAGAGUCUGGACAGUGAGUGAAACAGCCUGCUCUUCCAGGACUUGGCCAGCAUCCCAGCUUUCUUGGAUCCCCAAAGACAUCGACAACCGACAACCCCAGACAACAGAAAGCGGUUUGAAGAGCAUGGUGUUCCCACUCUCCCCUACCAGUCACCCCUACCUAUUUCCUUACCUUCAUAAUAAACAAAAAGGAGGAAUGUCAGAAACCAGGUGAUCCCCGAGCUCAACAGCUCAGUUUAGAGACAGUGACUCUUGAGCCCAGGAUUGUGAGGGUAAUGGUGACUAUAUUUGUAAGAAAUAAAAUCAGGUGUUCAGUUCCUAACCUAUCAAAGCAAAACUUGUUCAUGACUUGGUGUUCUCCAUGUAGCCUCCCAAGGUGUGUGUGUGGGGGUGGGGAGCAUCCAUAUGAUAGUCAUGGUACUACAGGGCUAGAGAUGUUUCAGUGACUAAGUUUUCUAUGGCAGUGGAAAUCCUCAAAGCUCUAGCCUUUAGUGACCCACAGCCUUCCUAGCCAGGCGCUCAUGAGUCUCUUGAGGCUGUAGGGGAAGUUUAACUGCAGAAAAAGCAGAGGCCUCAGGGUUCAAUCCUACAGGCUUUGAAAAAUAAUUCCAGGAAGACUAUUUGCUAUGACAAGUCCUUUCUAGACCUUCGCCUGAAAAUCUGUAGCACAAAGGUGUGAAAUUUUGUCUCUAUUUAGGGUGCCUCUGUUCCCAAAUGCUCAGCUGUUCUCCCUGAGCUGGGAGAGGGGCCGUCUUCACACAGCCCUAACUAAUGUGUUCCUUCCUUCUCAUCACCUCCCUGUCACCUGUGUGUGUGUGUGUGUGUGUGUGUGUGUGUGUGUGUGUGUGUGUGUGUGUGUGUGUAUGUGUAUGUGUAUGUGUGUGUGAGAUGCAGUAACUUCAGACUGGGAGAUGGCUCCCUUAAUAAGGGGCUUAUCUUGCAAGCAUGAAGACCUGAGCUCUUCCAUCACCCCUAGAACCCAUGUAAAAAUCCAGGCAGUAAUCCUAGCACUAGGAAAGCAGAGGCAGAAAGAUCCCUGGGAUCCACUAGCCAGCCAGUCUAGUCUACUUGCUCCAGGACCAAUGAGAGGUG
rnacentral:lncRNA from 1 species